AGAAAGUGUAUUUCUCACGCAAAUUAGGACUCUCACUUUCCCAGUAAACGUUUUUUUCUCUCCCCUGCGGCGAUUUAUCAGAUCGCCAUAGCCGGCCGCUCUCUCUUUUCUCCUCUUCUACUCUCUCCUUUACUACUCCUCUUCUCGCUGAGGCCUUCAAUUUCAAACGCCGUGACAUUCAAGGCCAGUAGAACCUUUGAGUGGGAAGAAAUGGCGAAUCUGUGGUCUACGAUGAAGCCCCCAUAGAGUUUGCUAAACUCCGUCACCGUCACGCCUUCAGCAAUUCAAACUCCUAACUCCAAAUAAAGCUCAGUUAGGAGGUGGUAUUCCUAUAUCUAAAAGAGCAAAGGAUUUGGUGACAUUAUUGGAUAUCAAUAUCCUGCCUUUACAGGUUAUACAGAGGCAUACACCAUUCGGAUAGUUGAGGCAUUCAAAACAUAUAGCAAAGCUGAAGUUGCGCUGCAUAACAAGAGGAUUGACUGCUGGAUCAUUAUCAAAGAAAAGGUACUUGAUUCAAGAAGUGGACGGCACUUGAAGAUGUUCAAACGGGAGUAAUAAUGCGUAGUAUGCGUGCGACCAUUAGUCAUUAUUGUUAGGAUUGACUUAUGUUUUCCUUUAAUCUUGUUAA